GCUGCCCUCAAGCACGGCUUGUGUGUUGGGCCCCGUCCCCCCCCUCCCGGGGGGACGGGCCCGAAAGGCAGCGGCGGCACCGCGUCCGGUCCUCGAGCGUAUGGGGCUUUGUCACCCGCUCUUGUAGGCCCGGCCGGCGCUUGCCGACCCCCUCAAUCUAUUUUUCAGG
rnacentral:misc_RNA from 1 species